AGUACUUUAAAAACAUACAUGAAAGCCAAGUAAAACAGUUAUGGGAAGCAGACAUGGUGUUUGACUCCCUGCUUUAAAAUAAAGUAUAUAGACAUACCAAAGCCAAUACAUUUCUCUUACUUGAAAAUAUCUAAAUGAAUAUAUGAAUUGAUAUGGAAAUGUCCUGAAAAAACAACAACCAGGCAAUAAAAUGUGGAAAAUGUGUUCAGUUUGCAUUUUUUGUGGUGUGCCUUAUGGUUUGCUGUUUCUGGUGAUAUAAUUUACUUCUAUGAGACAUUCAUAGAGAGACAAAUAUGGGCUUCCUCACAGACGAGUCCUCUGAUUGGCAGGGAGCUCAUCCUGGUCGAGUCCCCACAAGAAGGUGCGGAGACGUGUCACUUCCUUCUGGAGCUCAGGGCUUGGGAUUGGCUGGGAGAGGUCAAGGCGUGGAGUCUCAUUUGGCAGGAUUAGAGGAGGAUGGUCCAGGAAGCUCUCAAAGAUGUCUAUAAGACCAGAUAAGGAAAAGAAACAAUUGACUUAACAGAUUACUUCACUGUUUCACAAGUUGAAAGCUGUCGCUGUUGAAUUCUUUCCCUUGUUCCUUUUAUUUAUUUAUAUCUUACCUCCACACAGCUCUGUCCCUGGUGGGGGGCCCCAGGAUGCUGGUGGGGCUCUGGUUGGACCCAGCUUGUAAUGGGUGAGCAGGUGGUGCAACUGGGAAGGGCUUAACAAGACAUGGUCUUCCUGUAGACUGGCCCAGGAGGACUGGAAGAUGAGAGCAAGGUAUUGAGCAAGGAGGUGUUGGUGAAGAAGAAGAGGUAGCCAAAGGUUUGGGAGGUGAGCGGCGGGGAAAGACACGCCUCACGGGACAGCAUCAGGGAACAGCGAUACACUUCUACCAGCCCAGCAACUUUGGGCGGUAAGGUGGACACAUCGUCCACCUCUUCUUCCCCUCCUGUUUUCUCUUCUCCCUCUGCACCCCGAGCUCCAUCCUUCUCCUUCUCCUUCUCCUCAGUGGAGAAUGGGUUGGUGUCCAGGAGAGCUGGAAGGAGUGAGUACAGGGUCUUUGUGGACAGAAAGAACAGAAACUUCAGUUCAUUUGUUUAAAAAAUGAAAAAUAAACCUAUAUAUAUUGCAGGAAUGAUGGAUAGGGGAGGUAACAGAUCAAGUUGGGUUGGAUUAAGGUGAAGAGAGUAGAGAGGAAGGUGGAGAGUUGGCUAGGGAUGUUAAUGUCGGUGUGUCUGUCAGUCAGUCCACCAUUUUCUUCCAAAGUUAAAUAUUUCAACAAAUAUUGCUAUAAAAAUGACAUUCAUUGUCCCCUUUAGGAUGGAUCCUGCUGACUUCCCCCUGACUUUUCUUCUAGCUCUACUAUGACGUUGACAUUUAUGCUUGAGAUUGAGCUCGCAACUGCUAUUGGAUGGGUUGCCAUGAAAUUUGGUGAAACGCAUUCACGUGUACCUCUGGAUAAUUUCUAUUAAAUCUGGAGUCCCCCUGACUUUUUUCUGUCAUCAGUUAAAAAAUUUAUUUGUUAUUUGUUAUGGCAGAAAAUUGUGUCCUCUUACAUUUAAUCUCUCUCUCUUGUUGUUCCUCUCCUCUCCUGGAAUGUUCAUUCAAGGCUGAGAGAGGAUCUCUGUUCCCCAAAACAUAGAAACCUAGACUGUGUAAAUGAUUAAUCAUCCCUUUGCUCGGGGCCAGACGCCUGAAGCUGCCCUAGGAAGCAGGUCUCUGGAACAGCUGUAGCCUAUAUGUGUUUUAGUACGUCUCUGUUUAUUCUCUUUUGUCAAUAAAUUCUUCAAGACAA